GAAUUUUGUGGUUGAUAGGCCUUUAAUCUUUGUUUUAGAGAUGAGGAAGCUGAAGCAGGAGGAGCAGUGAACAUCCCGGGAUACUUCUCUCCCCAGCAACCAUAGUGACAUUUUAAAAUCAUCACCCAGAGUUACGUGUGAAAAUCAGUAUACCUCACAAAGAUUUGGAGUCAACUGGUGUUUACUAAGGCCCAAGCCCUUAGUAUUAUGCCAAGCCCUCUGUCCAGGGAUUAUUUGCAAGAAAUGUAUUGUUUACUCCCCCACAACAAGCGCUUAUACAAUUGAUGUUUUCACUCUCACUUUAAUGAUGAAGACACAAAAGCUCAG
rnacentral:lncRNA from 1 species